rnacentral:rRNA from 1 species
GAUGAACGCUGGCGGCGUGCCUAAUACAUGCAAGUCGAGCGAACAGACGAGGAGCUUGCUCCUCUGACGUUAGCGGCGGACGGGUGAGUAACACGUGGAUAACCUACCUAAAAGACUGGGAUAACUUCGGGAAACCGGAGCAAAUACCGGAUAAUAUAUUGAACCGCAUGGUUCAAUAGUGAAAGACGGUUUUGCUGUAACUUAUAGAUGGAUCCGCGCCGCAUUAGCUAGUUGGUAAGGUAACGGCUUACCAAGGCAACGAUGCGUAGCCGACCUGAGAGGGUGAUCGGCCACACUGGAACUGAGACACGGUCCAGACUCCUACGGGAGGCAGCAGUAGGGAAUCUUCCGCAAUGGGCGAAAGCCUGACGGAGCAACGCCGCGUGAGUGAUGAAGGUCUUCGGAUCGUAAAACUCUGUUAUUAGGGAAGAACAAAUGUGUAAGUAACUAUGCACGUCUUGACGGUACCUAAUCAGAAAGCCACGGCUAACUACGUG